rnacentral:rRNA from 1 species
UACGUAGGGGGCUAGCGUUGUCCGGAAUCAUUGGGCGUAAAGCGCGCGUAGGUGGUCAUGUAAGUCCGCUGUGAAAGUCAAAGGCUCAACCUUUGAAAGCCGGUGGAUACUGCAUGACUAGAGUACGGAAGAGGCGAGUGGAAUUCCUGGUGUAGCGGUGGAAUGCGCAGAUAUCAGGAGGAACACCAAUAGCGAAGGCAGCUCGCUGGGACGUUACUGACACUGAGGCGCGAAAGCGUGGGGAGCGAACAGG